CCCCAGACUCCUACGGGAGGCAGCAGUGGGGAAUAUUGCACAAUGGGGGAAACCCUGAUGCAGCGACGCCGCGUGAGCGAUGAAGUAUUUCGGUAUGUAAAGCUCUAUCAGCAGGGAAGAAGAUGACGGUACCUGACUAAGAAGCCCCGGCUAACUACGUGCCAGCAGCCGCGGUAAUACGUAGGGGGCAAGCGUUAUCCGGAUUUACUGGGUGUAAAGGGAGCGUAGACGGCGAUGCAAGCCAGAUGUGAAAGCCCGGGGCUCAACCCCGGGACUGCAUUUGGAACUGUGUGGCUGGAGUGUCGGAGAGGCAGGCGGAAUUCCUAGUGUAGCGGUGAAAUGCGUAGAUAUUAGGAGGAACACCAGUGGCGAAGGCGGCCUGCUGGACGAUGACUGACGUUGAGGCUCGAAAGCGUGGGGAGCAAACAGGAUUAGAUACCCCAGUAC
rnacentral:rRNA from 1 species